AGGAAAGUCCAGGAACAGAGCAUUUUCACCAUCAUGGAGAGGGUCAGGUACAGAGGUAACUCUACCUGGGGUCUGGAUUAAAUUCUUCAGUGGACGCCAUGAUGCAGAUGCUGUAUUCGGCCUUCUCUCUGCUGCCUGCAAUGUGACAAGCUCUUCUCUGCACAACGAAAGAUGGACUUUGCCAAGCUCAAAUGUCUGCAAAACCUCAGUGUGAUUGGUGAACCCUUAGCUGGUAUCUGAAGAUGUCUUUAACAAAGAGAGAACUAAGGUCAUUUUGAUCUCUGGAGAACAAAGUUUCCGUGUCAUAGCUGCAGAUUUUAACAACCGGCACCCAGAAAAACCUCCAAUUUCAUAUAACACUGUCCGGUUCCUAAUUCCCAAAUUGUGAGAAACUGAGACACUGGCUGACAAGUCACGGAGUGGUCAUCUAAAAAGUGCUACUGACGAGACAACCUCAACAAUGGUU